UGGGGAAUCUUGGACAAUGGGGGCAACCCUGAUCCAGCCAUGCCGCGUGAGCGAUGAAGGCCUUAGGGUUGUAAAGCUCUUUCAGCGGGGAAGAUAAUGACGGUACCCGCAGAAGAAGCCCCGGCCAACUACGUGCCAGCAGCCGCGGUAAUACGUAGGGGGCGAGCGUUGUCCGGAAUUAUUGGGCGUAAAGCGUGCGCAGGCGGUUUUGUAAGUCUGUCGUGAAAUCCCCGGCUCAACCUGGGAAUUGCGAUGGAGACUGCAAGGCUAGAAUCUGGCAGAGGGGGUAGAAUUCCACGUGUAGCAGUGAAAUGCGUAGAGAUGUGGAGGAACACCGAUGGCGAAGGCAGCCCCCUGGGUCAAGAUUGACGCUCAUGCACGAAAGCGUGGGGAGCCAAACAGGAUUAGAUACCC
rnacentral:rRNA from 1 species